UGGGGAAUUUUGGACAAUGGGCGAAAGCCUGAUCCAGCAAUGCCGCGUGUGUGAAGAAGGCCUUCGGGUUGUAAAGCACUUUUGUCCGGAAAGAAAUCCUUGGCUCUAAUACAGUCGGGGGAUGACGGUACCGGAAGAAUAAGCACCGGCUAACUACGUGCCAGCAGCCGCGGUAAUACGUAGGGUGCAAGCGUUAAUCGGAAUUACUGGGCGUAAAGCGUGCGCAGGCGGUUUGCUAAGACCGAUGUGAAAUCCCCGGGCUCAACCUGGGAACUGCAUUGGUGACUGGCAGGCUAGAGUAUGGCAGAGGGGGGUAGAAUUCCACGUGUAGCAGUGAAAUGCGUAGAGAUGUGGAGGAAUACCGAUGGCGAAGGCAGCCCCCGGGCCAAUACUGACGCUCAUGCACGAAAGCGUGGGGAGCAAACAGGAUUAGAUACCCUGGUAGUCCACGCCCUAAACGAUGUCAACUAGUUGUUGGGGAUUCAUUUCCUUAGUAACGUAGCUAACGCGUGAAGUUGACCGCCUGGGGAGUACGGUCGCAAGAUUAAAACUUAAAGGAAUUGACGGGGUCAUAGCUGUUUCCU
rnacentral:rRNA from 1 species